CUCGCCGGGAAAGAGGAUCCGCUUUGUGUGCGGUUUCUGGAAGGAAGUUGCUUUCAGGGAGUAGAGGCGGCUGGAGUCAGGAACGUGCAACAGAUCCCAGGAUCAGUAGGACGCAGCUUCCAGUCUCCUUUUCUUGGAAUUUCAUCGUGGACCCCCCAACUCCCCAUUGACAAGACUCGUCUCCAGCUCAAAUGCGACCUCCUCUAGUUCCCCUGUGUUUGCUUCUCCUCCAGAGCACUUACUACUUUAUACCCAGUGCUGUGCCAUCUCUGCACAAGAGAAUUGGAAGCUGUACACCCUUCACCUAUGAAUAGAGAGUGACUUAGCUUUUGCCAGGGUUUGGAGACAGCCCGCAUCGAUGCUUUAAAGCCUCGAGAGCUUCCUGCCAGAUAGAAAACCUCUUGAGCAAUGACAGAAUUGUUACUUGGCUGUUCCCUGGAGCAUUCGCCUCUUUGUGCAGGAUAAAUUCUCAGGGAAUUUGUGGAAUGGAUGCUGUCCUGUAGACAGAGCCAUUAAGUCAACUCCUAUGACUGGUGGGGACCUCUUCCCACUAAAGAAUUUCCUAAAGCCAUCUCAAGGCCUUAAAUCUCUCUAUUCCAUUCUAUUCUUCUCAUUUUUGUUCUCAUCUUACAAACCUUGGGAGAAAAGUACAUUGGGAUGAAACAAAAUGUGAAAUCCCUUGGACAUGUGUGAGCUAGCUUCCCAUGCAUCAUCCUGCCCCUCCCUGGGUCCACUCCUCUGCCUGGAGCUGAGUUACCAACAGCAGGGAACUUGAGGUCACGCCAAGUCACUGCCACCCUAAGGCAGAAGAGCAGUUCACCCAGUCCCUCCGCCAGAAGACUCAACCCAGCUUCUUGAAGCCAUUUCCAUGUACACAGACCACAGGCUGACUCUGUGCCAGGCCCUAUGGAGAUACAAGGUGAAGAAGAUCCAGUCCUCAUCCUUGAAGAGUUCAUAGUCCUGCAGGGGAAUCAGACUCAGAGGCAGACACUGCUCACGCAAACGUGACAAAGUAAAGGAAUCUUUUAAAAAGGCAUCAACUCAUAAGGACUAAGAGGCCAGAAAAAGAUAUGGCAGCAGACCAGUGACGGCGUCAAAAUUCUGGAAGC